UACGGAAGGCAGCAGUGGGGAAUAUUGCACAAUGGGCGCAAGCCUGAUGCAGCCAUGCCGCGUGUAUGAAGAAGGCCUUCGGGUUGUAAAGUACUUUCAGUCGUGAGGAAGGUGUUAAGGUUAAUAACCUUAGCAAUUGACGUUAGCGACAGAAGAAGCACCGGCUAACUCCGUGCCAGCAGCCGCGGUAAUACGGAGGGUGCGAGCGUUAAUCGGAAUUACUGGGCGUAAAGGGCACGCAGGCGGUUAAUUAAGUUGGAUGUGAAAAUCCCCGGGCUUAACCUGGGAAUGGCAUUCAAGACUGGUUAGCUAGAGUCUUGUAGAGGGGGUAGAAUUCCAUGUGUAGCGGUGAAAUGCGUAGAGAUGUGGAGGAAAUACCGGUGGCGAAGCGGCCCCUGGCAAAGACUGACGCUCAUGUGCGAAACGCGUGGGGAGGCAAACAAGGGAGUUAGAUACC
rnacentral:rRNA from 1 species